UACGUAGGGUCCCAAGCGUUAAUCGGAAUUACUGGGCGUAAAGCGUGCGCAGGCGGUUGUGCAAGACCGAUGUGAAAUCCCCGAGCUUAACUUGGGAAUUGCAUUGGUGACUGCACGGCUAGAGUGUGUCAGAGGGGGGUAGAAUUCCACGUGUAGCAGUGAAAUGCGUAGAGAUGUGGAGGAAUACCGAUGGCGAAGGCAGCCCCCUGGGAGUAACACUGACGCUCAUGCACGAAAAGACGUGGGGAGGCAAACAAGGAUUAGAUA
rnacentral:rRNA from 1 species